rnacentral:rRNA from 1 species
GAUGAACGCUGGCGGCGUGCCUAAUACAUGCAAGUAGAGCGCUGAGGCGAGGAGCUUGCUCUUCUUACAUGAGUGGCGGACGGGUGAGUAACGCGUGGGUAACCUGCCUAUUAGAGGGGGAUAACUUUGGGAAACGGGAGCUAAUACCGGAUAACAUAGUGAAACACAUGGCUCAUUAGUGAAAGAGGGAAUUGCUCUACUACAAAAAGGGACUGCCGUGUAUUUGCCAGGAUGUGAGGUUAAGGGUCAACUAGGCGACGGUACCUUGCCGACCUGGGAGGGGGAUCGGCCCACCUUGGACUGAGACACGGCCCCGACCCCCACGGGAGGCAGCAGUAGGGAAUCUUUCGCAAUGGGGGCAACCCUGACCGGGCCACGCCGCGGGAGUGAAGAAGGUUCUCGGAUUGGAAAGCUCUGUUGUAAGUCAAGAACGGGUGUGAGAGUGGAAAGUGCACACUGUGACGGUAGCUUACCAGAAAGGGACGGCUAACUACGUG